AACUAAAAAGCCCCAGGCACUUGAUGCCUGGAAAUGAUGUCAGAGACGGCCACUCCUCUGUUAGAACUACAACCAAACAAUGCCGAGCAGCUGCUCCGUGAAUGCCAGCGCCAACUCAGUUAAAAGAGCUACCAAGCCGACGACUCUGGGCUGCGCCCCUCUCGCCCACAUUCUCCCCAAGCCCUUUCGGGAACCUGGCAACAGGUAACGUGGCAACCUUUGACUUAUAAAAUGGCAAGUGGCAUAAUUUCAGGGAACAUUUUUUUUUUUUUUCCAAGCCAGCUGCCUCUCCAUGACCACCGCUCCCCAUUCCCCCACCUCCCUGGCUGGUCCCACCCAGCCCAAAGUCUGAGAAAACAAAGUGUAGCUGUAAGCAAUCCUACUCGCGAGUGUCGCCUUGUGGCCAGGAUCGGAACAGCAUUUACGUACUCCUGAAAUCCGCGGUUCAACUUCAAGGUGAGGCGCUGCUGUGAGAAGAGGGGGGACAACUCGGCCUUUUCGUCCAAAAAAGACACCAGAAAUAUCUGUACUGCCGAUUGGUGGUAUCUCGACCCCGUGCCAACACGGCGGCACUCCUGCAGCAGCUCUGCUGAACCAACGGCCACGGCUGAACCUGACCUCUUCCCAGCCUCCCAGCAGCCCCGACGGCAGCUGCAAUGACCCACAGCCAAGACCGGAAGAACAGCCGACAGCUCCUGUCACUCCUGUGUGCAAAUCUGCCCUGGGGUAAAGGAUUGAGGGUUUUGAAGAUUCCAGAAUAACUCUUCAUUGUCCUGAUCGCUGUAACCUCUCGUGAUUCCAUCCACCAAGUUCCCUGGCUCCGUACAGGAAAUUCACCCUUGUGGGAAAAUUCGUUGCUCCUCUUGCUUCUUGACGUUAUCAAUUUAGGUGUCACUUGUUCCAGGAAGACAUCUGGAAUGCCCUCCAAAUGUCAGGUUUUCACACUGAUACUUUCCUGACAGCGCAUUUUAGACAUCAUAAUGUCUUCCCAGUUGUCUGCCAGAGCUUGGCUGCAGGUAGUCCUUCAGGAAAUGCAGGCUUAGGCUG